rnacentral:tRNA from 1 species
AAGUAAGAAGUGAUUAAUCACAGUUAGUUUCGACCUGACCUUAGGUAUUUACCCUUACUUU